CGCGUGAGGAUCUGGCCUUAGGCCGGGGACAACAUUGGGAAACCGAUGCUAAUACCGGAUGCGCCGAGAGGUNAAAGAUUUAUNCGCCUAGGGAUGAACUCGCGUCUGAUUAGCUAGUUGGUGGGGUAAAGGCCUACCAAGGCGACGAUCAGUAGCUGGUCUGAGAGGAUGAUCAGCCACACUGGGACUGAGACACGGCCCAGACUCCUACGGGAGGCAGCAGUGGGGAAUUUUCCGCAAUGGGGGCAACCCUGACGGAGCAACGCCGCGUGCGGGAGGANCGGUUUGUGGACUGUAAACCGCUUUUAAUAGGGAAGAAGUACNUGACGGUACCUAUUGAAUCAGCAUCGGCUAACUCCGUGCCAGCAGCCGCGGUAAUACGGAGGAUGCAAGCGUUAUCCGGAAUUAUUGGGCGUAAAGGGUCCGCAGGUGGCUUAUCAAGUUAGCUGUUAAAGGCCGGGGCUUAACUCCGGACGAGCAGUUAAAACUGGUAGGCUAGAGUACGGUAGGGGUAGAGGGAAUUCCUAGUGUAGCGGUGAAAUGCGUAGAUAUUAGGAAGAACACCAGUGGCGAAGGCGCUCUACUGGGCCUGUACUGACACUGAGGGACGAAAGCUAGGGGAGCGAAUGGGA
rnacentral:rRNA from 1 species